rnacentral:misc_RNA from 1 species
GAAAUGCGAUAAGUAAUGUGAAUUGCAGAAUUCAGUGAAUCAUCGAAUCUUUGAACGCACAUUGCGCCCUUUGGCAUUCCGAAGGGCAUGCCUGUUCGAGCGUCAUUACACCAAUCACGCCUGGCGUGGUAUUGGGCGACGGGGCCGUCACACGCCCCGCGCCCCAAAGACCUUCCGGCGGGACGGACCGAAUCUCAGCGUUGUGCAAACAAGUCGCUGGCGAGACGGGACGGCCGGGCCGUUAAACCCCCCAUUCUUAAGGUUGACCUCGGAUCAGGUAGGGAUACCCGCUGAACUUAA